GGGGGAAAAACCGGAGCCGCAGCGAAAGCGAGUCUGGAAUGGGCGUAUGAAGUACGUAGUUAUGUACCCGAAACCAGGUGACCUACCCAUGUCCAGGGUGAAGGUGCGGUAAAACGCACUGGAGGCCCGAACCCGUGUCUGUUAAAAAAGGCUGGGAUGAGGUGUGGGUAGCGGUGAAAUUCCAAACGAACUUGGAGAUAGCUGGUUCUCUCCGAAAUCUCUUUAGGGGGAGCCUCGGAAUCGAGAAUCUUGGAGGUAGAGCACUGUUUGGACGAGGGGCCCGUCAUGGGUUACCGACUUCAGAUAAACUCCGAAUGCCAAUGAUUUAUGUCCGGGAGUCAGACGAUGAGUGAUAAGAUCCACCGUCGAAAGGGGAACAGCCCAGAUCACCAGUUAAGGUCCCUAAAUAUAUGCUAAGUGGAAAAGGAUGUGGAGUUGCAUAGACAACUAGGAUGUUGGCUCAGAAGCAGCCAUCAUUUAAAGAGUGCGUAAUAGCUCACUAGUCGAGUGAUUCUGCGCCGAAAAUGUACCGGGGCUAAGCAUAUUACCGAAACUGUGGAUGUGUCCUUUUGGACACGUGAUAGGAGAGCGUUCUAAGGGCGACGAAGUUAGACCGUGAGGACUAGUGGAGCGCUUAGAAGUGAGAAUGCCGGUAUGAGUAGCGAAAGACAGGUGAGAAUCCUGUCCACCGAAUGACUAAGGUUUCCUGGGGAAGGCUCGUCCUCCCAGGGUAAGUCGGGACCUAAGGCGAGGCCGAGAGGCGUAGUCGAUGGAUAACAGGUUGAGAUUCCUGUACCAGUUAAAUGCGUUUGAAUGAUGGAGGGACGCAGGAGGCUAAGCAAACCAGACGAUUGGAAGUGUCUGGCCAAGCAGUAAGUCAGGUUUAGAGUCAAAUGCUUUAAGCCGGGUUGACAAGCUGUGAUGGGGAGCGAAAUUAAAGUAGCGAAGUUGCCGAUGUCACACUGCCGAGAAAAGCUUCUAGUGAGUAUUUAACUGCCCGUACCGCAAACCGACACAGGUAGUCGAGGAGAGAAUCCUAAGGUGAGCGAGUGAACUCUCGUUAAGGAACUCGGCAAAAUGACCCCGUAACUUCGGGAGAAGGGGUGCUGGUCGCAAGACCAGCCGCAGUGAAAAGGCCCAGGCGACUGUUUAUCAAAAACACAGGUUUCUGCAAAAUCGUAAGAUGAAGUAUAGGGGCUGACGCCUGCCCGGUGCUGGAAGGUUAAAAGGAAGAGUUAGCUUCGGCGAAGCCCUGAAUUGAAGCCCCAGUAAACGGCGGCCGUAACUAUAACGGUCCUAAGGUAGCGAAAUUCCUUGUCGGGUAAGUUCC
rnacentral:rRNA from 1 species